rnacentral:rRNA from 1 species
CCCGAGAUUGCGUCGACGCGGAUCCCGAAAAGGGCGUCGAUCCGUCGCGACAGCGGGACGGUGGUCAUGGAAGUCGAAAUUCCGCUAAGAAGCGUGUAAAAACGUACCCGCCCAACGGAUCGGCCCCGAAAAUUGAUGGCGCUCGAACGCAACCCUCGAACCCCGCCGACGGAGGCUAGGGGAGGCCCCGUCGAGUAGGCGGACGCGCGGGUCGCUUCGACGCUCUCGCGCGAGCGGGGGCGGAGCGGCCCGUGGUGCAGAUCUUGGUGGUAGUAGCGAUCACCCAGGCGAGAACCCUGAGGGCCGAAGUGGAGAAGGGUUUCUCGAGAACGGCACUCGCUCGAGAGUUAGUCGAUCCUAAGCUGCCGGCGGCAGCCACGAAACGGUCGAUCGGGCGCGAGCCCGGCAGCCACGACCGGGCAGCGAAAGGGAAUUGGGAACCUCCUUCCCAAACCCGGAACCGGAACGAGGGCGGCGACGCGAACGAAACGGCCGCGGAGACGGCGGCCGCGGCCCCGGAGAGAGUUCUCUUUUCUGUGCGA